rnacentral:rRNA from 1 species
AACGCUGGCGGCGUGCCUAAUACAUGCAAGUCGAACGGUCUUUCUAUGGAAGCUUGCUUCCACUGAGAAGAUAGUGGCGAACGGGUGAGUAACACGUGGGUAACCUGCCCAUAAGAGGGGGAUAACAUCCGGAAACGGGUGCUAAUACCGCAUAGUUUUCUUGAUCGCAUGAUUGAGAAAGGAAAGACGGCCUUUGUGCUGUCGCUUAUGGAUGGACCCGCGGCGUAUUAGUUAGUUGGUGAGGUAACGGCUCACCAAGACGAUGAUACGUAGCCGACCUGAGAGGGUGAUCGGCCACAUUGGGACUGAGACACGGCCCAAACUCCUACGGGAGGCAGCAGUAGGGAAUCUUCCGCAAUGGACGAAAGUCUGACGGAGCAACGCCGCGUGAGUGAAGAAGGUUUUCGGAUCGUAAAACUCUGUUGUCAGAGAAGAACAAGUUGGAGAGUAACUGCUCCAGCCUUGACGGUAUCUGACCAGAAAGCCACGGCUAACUACGUG